rnacentral:rRNA from 1 species
AACGCGAAGAACCUUACCUGGGCUUGACAUACUGGUGAAAGCUGGUGGAAACACCGGCCCCUCUUCGGAGCGCCAGCACAGGUGCUGCAUGGCUGUCGUCAGCUCGUGUCGUGAGAUGUUGGGUUAAGUCCCGCAACGAGCGCAACCCUUAUUGCCAGUUGCCAUCAUUUAGUUGGGAACUCUGGCGAAACUGCCUCGGAUAACGGGGAGGAAGGUGGGGAUGACGUCAAGUCCUCAUGGCCUUUAUGUCCAGGGCUACACACGUGCUACAAUGGCCGGUACAAACCGUUGCAAACCCGCAAGGGGGAGCUAAUCGGAAAAAGCCGGCCUCAGUUCGGAUUGGAGUCUGCAACUCGACUCCAUGAAGCUGGAAUCGCUAGUAAUCGCGGAUCAGCACGCCGCGGUGAAUACGUUCCCGGGCCUUGUACACACCGAGUAUA